ACAAGCCUGAGAAACGGCUAGUAGGACUACGGUCUGCAGCAGGCGCGAAACUUACACAAUGCUAGAUUCAAGAUAAUUAGCGAUGUAGUGAAGAAAAAUAACGAUGUGCUUGCUUUUAAACAAGCUUGCACAAUUGGAAUGAGACGACUUUAAAGCAGUUAGUCGAGUAACAAAUGGAGGGCAAGUCUGGUGCCAGCAGCCGCGGUAAUUCCAGCUCCAUUAGCAUACAUUAAAGUUGUUGCGGUUAAAAAGCUCGUAGUUGAAUGUAGUGGUGUUUGAAGUGUCUGCUAUCCGUUAAGGUGGUUUCGACUACUGGAUAGUGUGGCACUUUAGAUGCUUGUUUCGUCACUUAAUCGAGUGCGAAGCGGGCGAGGUCGCGCGUUCCUUAACUGAAACGUGUGCGCCUUGCCUGUUUACCUUGAGAAAAUUAGAGUGCUCAGAGCAGGCAGUUGGACUGUAAAAGGUUCUUUAUGCUUGAAUAAUGUUGCAUGGAAUAAUAGAAUACGGCCUCGGUUCUAUUCUGUUGGUCUUAUAGAACAACAAACAAGUUGUGGUAAUCACCAUUGGAUGUUUCGUGUGGGGUUCACUGGGAGUCGUGUUGUCAGAGAGUAAAAUUUCUGUACCUCCUCACAGUAAACAUUAAAACCUACACCCUACAACCAGAUCACUCACAACUGAGGCAAUGGUUAAAAGAAAUAGUCGCGGCGGCAUCAGUACUGCAUCGUGAGAG
rnacentral:rRNA from 1 species